UGGGGAAUAUUGGACAAUGGGGGGGAACCCCGUGAUCCAGCGACGCCGCGUGAGUGAAGAAGUAUUUCGGUAUGUAAAGCUCUAUCAGCAGGGAAGAAAGAAAUGACGGUACCUGACUAAGAAGCCCCGGCUAACUACGUGCC
rnacentral:rRNA from 1 species